GUUAUCUAAAAAUAUUUAAACAUUCUAAUUCACGAAGUCAGGUGAGCUAUAUAUUUAAUAAUAUUAGAAAUAACCAUUAGUGUAGCACUACUAAAAAUUAAAUAAAUAUAUAGGGGUGAAAGGCUUUACAAAUUUGACGAUAUCUUGAUGGCAAAGAAAAAUAUAUAGUAUAAGAUAGAUUAUAAAUGUUAAGGUUUUUAAUUAACAUAAUUUAGUUAGUGUAUAUUGUUGUAUACUUAAUAGUUACAGCUUUAAAUAAUAUAAUAUUAAAGAACUAGAGAAUAUGUAAAUUACUUGUCGCUUAACUUUAACUAACUAUUUAAUUUAAAAUGAAAAUAUUAGUAUUAUUUUAGACUUGAUUAAGGAAUUCAGCAAAUUCUCUCUCGACUGUUUACCAAAAACAUUGCUCUAUGUAUUUAUUUAGGGUUUAACCUGCUCAAUGAUUAUUAAAUAGCCGCAGUACAUUGACUGUGCAAAGGUAGCAUAAUCAGUUGGCUUAUAAUUGAAGUCUCGUAUGAAUGGGAAUUCGGGGGAUAACUGUCUUACACAAGUUACUUAGAAAUUACUUAGUGAGUGAAAAUUCUCAUAUAUAAAGAAGAAGGACGAGAAGACCCUAGAAAUUUUUUAUCCAUAUGUUCAUAACAUACUCUAUUUUGUUGGGGCGACAUAGUAACAGUUAACUUACUAAAUAACAUGCUAUUUAUAAAUUGUAAGAAUAAAUUACUCUAGGGAUAACAGCAUUAUUCAGUUUAUGAGUUUGUGACCUCGAUGUUGGACUAGGAAAUAAUUUAUCUAGAAAAUAAAUUAAAAGGCUCUGUUCGAGCUUAUAUCUCCUACAUGAUCUGAGUUCAGACCGG
rnacentral:rRNA from 1 species